CAACAUCUGUGGUUGAAGCCACUUGGUCCGUGCCACUCUGUCAUGGCAGCCCCAGCAGACUGACGCGCCUAUUCUACUCCUGUGGCUGCGGCUGUAACUCACCCUCCCAUUUAACACACAGGCCCUUCUGCUUUGAAGACGCUGUUUCGGGCCUGCUGCCCCCACCCCCUGCGCACACAUGCUCUCGGGGAAAUCUGCAAGGCCACCUGAGUGACAGGGUGCCCGGCCUCCCCACGCUCCCGGCCUCCAGCCUCGGAGACUCACCAGCGCUUCCACGUCGUCUUCGUCGUUCAGGUCAUCGUCAUCUUCCUCGGUCAAGGACAGAGUCAUGUGUCGGGUGAAGGAAGCCAUGCCCAGAGGUGACAGACAGGCGGCAGGAUGAAGAUGGCGCUGGUAAUGUCUGGAAGUGACCAGCGACUAGUACCCAGAACUGUUAAGAGCAGCAACGGGAAAUCGGGAAGGAGUGGGCGAGAACGACGUGCAGAAGAGGAGCAGAGAAGAGUUCACAGACACUCGAGACCUCAAACUCCGCCAGCGGAGAAGUGCAGAGGAAGGCCCCGCUCCUUCAUCCCAGCUCAACCGCAGUAAU